UCAAAUAGGAACCAGGAGUACGGGAGGAGC
rnacentral:piRNA from 1 species